rnacentral:rRNA from 1 species
GCGGUAUCCUUUGCCCUUUUAUUGGAGGCUAGGAUGGAUGGCCUAACGUAAAUCUAACCUGUCUCUUUUAUAAUUAAUAGGAAUUAAUCUUUAGGUGAAGAAGCCUAAAUUUAUUCAUAGGACGAAAGGCCCUGUCGAGCUUUAAAUUUUUAUUUUAAUUUUUUUCCUUUGGUAGAAGAAUGGUUUUUAUUUAUUUUGUUUGUUGGGGUGACAGAAGAACAUUCAAAGCUUCUUCUAAUUGAAUUAAACUUUUUAGUUUGUUGAUCUUCUAAUGGAAAAAAAAAGAAUAGUUCCCGCAGGGAUAACAGCGUAAUUUUUUUGGAAAGUUCAAAUUAAAAAAAAAGUUGGG